ensembl:lncRNA
CCCCUCCCCUCCCUGGAGGUCUCUCCGAGCGGCGCCGUUGCCGCUGUGUCGCCUCCCGGGCUGCUGCUCCCGGCUCAUCCCGGACGGCGCUCAGCCCUGUGGGCAGAGACGGAGCCGUCGGUGCCGCUUCCAGGAGAACGGCCGCCUCUUCCCAGCAGAGCAGAGUGAGUGUUUGACAUACGUUUCUCACCUGGGAGCCAACACUGGCUUUGGCAGUUUGAUACGCAACAGUUGCUUCCAUUUCCAUUGGUAAUCCUAACACUGCUGCCCGAACUGCACGCUCAGCUUCCCAGAACCGAGUUGGAUUGACACUGGCUCAAGGAGUCCCAAGGCUCAGAGUGCUCCCACAUCCUACCUAACCUUCUCAAGGCACAAAGUUACGGAGCCCCACUGUAUCUUGAUCCACUCCUAAUCCCAUACUUCAUGAGGGGAUAACGUCAGAGAGAUCAUAUGUACAUACUUAAUAUCACUUAAUGAUACAAGCUUAGAGAAGCUCGCAAAGAUCCAAAGUAACCAUGAGUCUUUUAC